CAUUGGUAGAAGUGCAGGUAAAGGAGUUGAUGAUGUGAUAGGGUCGAUGAUGGGUGCUGGUGAGGAGGGUGGUGUUGGAGAGGUAAGGGCAAGUGUGGCAGUAUGGAUGGGAGCAAGGGAACAAGCCAGGUUGGGAAGUUGGGUUAGGGAAGAAGCUGUGGACCAAGAGGUCUCAUAGGUUGUGGGCUCAUUCGAAGGAUGGGAGGGGUCAGUUAGGGAAGAUGUGCGAAGUGGAGGGGUCAGACUGGAGUUGCCAGAAGGCUUGGAGAAUGGUGCAUUGGAGAGGUAGGGUGGUGGAGUGGUAGGUGAGGGAAAAUGGGAGGCAGGAGAUGGCGGGGCAGGUUCAGGGGGAGAGAACAGAUGCACAGUCCACGGAACGUGCUCUGGCAAGGGUGGUGUGGAUAGUGGUGAGGAGAUAUCCACAUAGGAUGAAGUGGCGAGCCAUGAGUUGAGACUGAGUCUCAAAGUCAUGGUCGUCACUACAGAGUCUGCGUAGAUGGAGGAAUUCGGAAUAGGGGAUGGAAAGCUUGGUGUGUUUAGGGUGGGAGGAGGAGAAGUUGAGGUAUGACUGC